rnacentral:lncRNA from 1 species
ACUGGAAUUACUGUAUACAUGCGGGACUUAGGAAUCUGUGUUUUGACCAAGAGGCCAGGUGAUUCUUCUGCUCAGUUAGUGCUGGGAAACAGUGCUAAGAAGGAUACAGUGGCUAGAAGUCGUCCUGUCGUCCUGCCUCACAGUAACAUCGUUACCGAAUUCUCAGCAGGUGAACCAAAUGAAAUGGUCAACUGAAAGCCAACCAGGGGUCUUGUCCUGUCACUCUGGCUGGAAUACAAUGGCGUAAUCAUAGCUCACUGCGGCCUCCAUCUCCUGGGUUCAAGUGAUUCUCCUGCUUCAGCUUCCCAAGUAUCUGGGACUACAGGCAUGUACUACCAGAACUGGAUAAAUUUUUUAUUUUUAUUUUUUAUUAUUAUUUUUUUUGAGACGGAAUAUCGCUCUGUCGCCCAGGCUGGAGUGCAGUGGUGCAAUCUCGGCUCACUGCAAGCUCCGUCUCCCAGGUUCACGCCAUUCUCCUGCCUCAGCCUCCCAAGUAGCUGGGACUAAAGGCGCCCGCUACCAUGCUUGGCUAAUUUUUAUGUAUUUUUAGUAGAGAUGGAGUUUCACCACGUUAGCCAGGAUGGUCUCGAUCUCCUGACCUUGUGAUCUGCCCUCCUCGGCCUCCCAAAGUGCUGGGAUUACAGACGUGAGCCACUGUGCCCGGCUAUUUUCUUAAAAUUUUUAGUAGAGGCAGGUUCUCACUAUGUUGCCCAAGCUGGUCUUGAACUUCCAAGCUGAAGCAGUCCUCCCAUCUUGGCCUCCAAAAAUGUUGGGAUUACCAGCAUUUUUGUGAGUGAGCCACCGCACCCAGCCAAAAGAUGUAUUUUAAACCAUUAAGAACUCUGACCUCCUGAGAGUCUCCUCAGAGGGGAAUUUGGGUGCCUCUUAGAGGCCAGCCCUUUAAAUUACCCUCAGGAUAUGAGACAGGGUGAAGGGAGUUCUGACUGAAAAUGCAUAGUAGGCCCAAGGUGGUGCUUAUGUCUGUAAACCCAGCAUUUGGGGAGGCCAAGGUGGGCAUAUCACUUGAGGUGAGGAGUUCGAGACCAGCCUGGCCAACGUGAUGAAACCCCGUCUCUAUUAAAAAUACGAAAAUUAGCCAGCCAUGGUGGCGGGCACCUGUAAUCCCAGCUACUCGGGAGGCUGAGGCAGGCGAACUGCUUGAACCCGGGAGGUGGAGGUUGCAGUGAGAUAAGAUCGCACCACUGCACUCCAGCCUGGGCGACAGAGUGAGACUCUGUCUCAUUUAAAAAAAAAAAGAAAAAGGGCCGGGCACGGUGGCUCAUGCCUGUACUCCCAGCACUUUGGGAGGCCGAGGCAGGCAGAUCAUGAGGUCAAGAGAUUGAGACCAUCCUGGUCAACAUGGUGAAACCCCGUCUCUACUAAAAAUACAACAAUUAGCUGGGUGUGGUGGCGCACGCCUGUAGUCCCAGCUACUAGGGAGUCUGAGGCGGGAGCAUCAUUUGAACCCGGGAGGCAGAGCUUGAAGUGAGCCAAGAUCGCGCCACCGCACUCCAGCCUGGCAACAGAGUGAGACUCCAUCUUAAAAAAAAAAGAAAAAGAAAAAGAAUGCAUAGUAGAUGCAAUUCACAGAAAAGAAGAAAAGAUUCUAUUUACACUUUUUGUAUUUGAGCUUUCAUAGACUUUUUCUUCCCUUAACCACUGCAGCAAAAAAUCACCAUGUACCAACCUAUCCAAACUUAUCCAUGGAUGAAUCUAUCCAGAAGACGGGAGUUCCGAUGCUUGUCUUGCUCUGAAUGUCUGCUUGUCACCUGCUUAGGGUUAUCGACUGUGAUUCUGGGACUCAUUGUUGUUCUACAGGACCCCUCUGACUCUGUGGUUUUCUCUACUGGAUUAACAAUGAUAGCCAUAGGUGCUUUUUUUGUUGUCCUCACUGGAGUGACAGCCCUGUGUACGGUUACAGUCGACGAGAACUUGCAGAAAACCACGAGGCUAAGACUAGGAGUGAUACGAAAAAGCGGAAGUCUCCAAGGAACUACAGAGCCUUCCAUGACUCACUCAAUAAUCGCUAGCACCUCGCUGUAGUUGUACAUUGAACCCUGGCAUCUUCGUCUUUGGAACUAAGUCUCCUGAGCAUUGUUUUUAAAUAGAAAUAAAAUCUGGCUUUUAAAAAAACUCUUGUAAUCCCAGCAGUUUGGGAGGCCAAGGUGGGUGGAUCACAAGGUCAGGAGUUCGAGACCAGCCUGGCCAACAUGGUGAAACCCCGUCUCUACUAAAAAUGGAAAAAUUAGCCAGGUGUGGUGG